rnacentral:lncRNA from 1 species
CAUGUGCUAUUUCUCCUUCUGAAUCACUUUCCUUUUUUUCCCCCACUUCUUUUUUCUUCCAGGCUAAUUCCUAUUCAGCAUGCAAGAUUCAUCCCAGCAAUGAAUGACCUUCUCUUCGAAGACUGCCUAAGAAGAUGAGAUUUGAGGCUCCUUUCGUGGGAUUUUGUAUAUUAUCAACAUAGUAUUUAGUUUACUUUAUUUUUAUUGCUUUUUUUGCCCCUCUACCUACUAUUUUGGAGAAACUGCUGAAAUCAGAAGUGACUUUGUUCUUUGAGCUAGGCCUAAUUAUAGCUUGUUUGUUUUAAUUGAGGUUUGGAAGACACAGAAGGAUGACCGGCAUUUUCUGUCCCAUAAAAAGGAAUCUGACCAAGGAUCAUCACUGAAUCUCUACCUCCUCCAAGACUAUGCACUCCCUGAGGGCAGAAACUAUACACACUUCUUUCUCCAAGAUCAUAGCAUAGACUUUACAUAAGGUAAAUGUUCAAUAAGUAUUUG